rnacentral:rRNA from 1 species
GACGAACGCUGGCGGCGUGCUUAACACAUGCAAGUCGAACGGAAAGGCCCUGCUUUUGUGGGGUGCUCGAGUGGCGAACGGGUGAGUAACACGUGAGUAACCUGCCCUUGACUUUGGGAUAACUUCAGGAAACUGGGGCUAAUACCGGAUAGGAGCUCCUGCUGCAUGGUGGGGGUUGGAAAGUUUCGGCGGUUGGGGAUGGACUCGCGGCUUAUCAGCUUGUUGGUGGGGUAGUGGCUUACCAAGGCUUUGACGGGUAGCCGGCCUGAGAGGGUGACCGGACACAUUGGGACUGAGAUACGGCCCAGACUCCUACGGGAGGCAGCAGUGGGGAAUAUUGCACAAUGGGCGGAAGCCUGACGCAGCAACGCCGCGUGCGGGAUGACGGCCUUCGGGUUGUAAACCGCUUUCGCCUGUGACGAAGCGUGAGUGACGGUAAUGGGUAAAGAAGCACCGGCUAACUACGUG